AGCUCCUGGAAAAACGAUCGGAAGCAGAAUCUGGAUCAAUGGAAAAAAAAUUGUGCGGUGGAUCGGCAGCCGCCCGCCACCCCCGUUCUACUAUAUAUACUACUCUCAUGCAACAACAGGGUGAGAGAUGGAACAGAGGCGGAGAGGGAAUUGGGGGGGGGAGGUAGGUUUGGUUUCGAAACCGGAUUCGAAACUUACUUCCAAAGGUUUCCCCCUCCCCCUUUCCUUUGAAUCGAUCAGAGACGAGGGAUCAAGGGAAUGCUCUUCGUGCUUUCCAUCCCCCUCCCUCUCUAUCCAUCCAUCCAUCUAUCUAUCUAUCUAUCGUUCUCCAGGGAGGAGAAGAGGAAGAAUUCUCGCGCCAACGCCUCGAGAAUAACAAUAAUAACAAUAAUUCGUCCAAGAAGGAACUCGUCUCCACCGAUAACGAUAUUCCAUCCCUCCUCGCUCGUUUCGAGUCCACUCGAAAAACGAGUUGCGGGCCAGUCUCUUCCUUCGGACGUGUCACUCCUUCUCCAUCUCGGGUACGCAGCGGCCAGUGGAGUUCGUUCCAUCCCUCGCGCCCCCCUUUGGUUAGUUCGACGCUCGCGUGUCGAACUCGCGUUGCUCGACUUGUCGGAAACGCUUCGUCCCGACGGAAAGUCGCCCGCGGCGGCGGAGGAGGGAAGAAAAAAGGGACGAAAGAGAGAAACGGGUACAGAGAGAGGGCCGGUGCAUUACCGGGUAAAAACGAAGGAGGGGGCGGAAGAAGAAGACACGAAGCGGGCACAGAGCGAUUCCCACCCAACAAUCAUGGGAACAAUAGCCAAGAGUGGAACACGUGCCAAAUUAAAGGCCUGGAAAGUAGCAAAGUACCGAGGUGAGCGCGAUCGUGUCUGGCCCCGGCCGUUUAAAACCGUGUCUGAUGCGCGGGGGUGUGGUUGAGAAUCGGAACAGCCGAGGAAAAAAGCCACCGAAAGGGAGGGGGAAACGCGUAGAAAGAAAGGAGAGAUCUUUUUUUCUUUCUCAUCCACGUUUUCACGAACGUGUUUCUUUGGACACGUUCCUCCAAUCGAAUGGACGGUGUACAUCGAAAGUGUAGUGAGAGUCGUUCCGUCGACAGGCUUAUAGAUAUGGAUGUUUAUAAUACGAUCGCUCCGCUUGGCAACUUGCCAAGUUGCGCGUUCUCGAGGGAGAGGGGGGAUUGUCUGGUCGACCUGGUUCGAUUCGACUCGAGAGGGUUUCCUUAAAGUUGGAAGUGGGUCGCGUUAGUGACCACCUCGGUCGUUUCUCAGGAGAAGGAAGAGAAAAUUUCGGUGGCUCGAAAAGAAAAAUUUCACAGGGCGAGUCGAAGGAAACGAAAGAAGAAAUGCAAACGUUGAUCUCCAAAGGAGAACCAGGAGGACGAUCCCGAAUGCGUCACCUCGGAUCGCAGAUUCUCUUCGAUUUCGACUAAAAUCCUUUCCACGAGUUCUUCGAGUUACCGGGUAUAUUAUUAAAGAUAAAGGGCGAAGGCGAAGGAAAAAUGAAGCGUUCCGAAUAUGAACGUGGGCCGAACGAAUUCGACGAUUUGAAGUGGAGAGGAGGAAAGAGAGAAGAGAUCGAAGGACAAUUUCGUCCGCGGAAUCCUCGGGCGAGCAACAGAGAUUGGAUCACGAACGAUCGAGUGGGAUUUAUCUUUGAGCGCGAUUACUCAAUGAAACCGAUUGCGUCAUUUUUUUCUCCCCGUCUCUCGAAUAUAUCGAAUCGAAACGCGCCGACGACCCGGGACCGUAACCUACGUCUUUGGAGUGAAAGUUGGAUCUCGCCGGUUUCGUUUCAUUUUCUUUUCUCUCUCUCUCUCUCUCUUCUGCCUCGGUCCUGCCUCUACGCACGUACCACGUAGAUUCACGAAUUUUGCCCAAAAAAGGGAGAGGAAAAGGGAGAGGUGUACUCGAAGCGUAUUCGAUUUAGAGAAAACGGUGGAGGAAUGCGUAAAUGCACGAACGAGGGAUUAGGAUAAGGAUCCGAGUCGCAUUUGUGUCCUUGGAUGUUUCACGCGGCGAAAAGGAGAAAGAAAGAAAGAAAAAAAACAAAAACAAUCAGGAGGAGUAUUCGACGACGGACGAAGAGGAGAGACGCGUGUACGAAUUCCGCGUGGAUGGAUGGAUGAGGGGGGAGGGCAACGUUAAACGGCAAGAGCUCCCCUCCUCCCUCCCUUUGUACGGCCCUGCACAGGAGAAUAAUGGUCGAACCGUGUCUCGAUCGUGCUUUAUGGGAUGUAAUUGCGGUGCGGGCCCGUGGCGAGUACCGCAACCCAGAUAGAAGCGUUACGGUUUUGACCUUCGCCACGACCACGAAAACGAGUUUUUGCCAGAGUUUUCGCGCCACCCAAAGGUCUACCUUCAUAUUUUUCCUCGUCCUACUUCCCUCGAGCGAGUCGUCACUCUUCCGCUCUAUUCUUAUCCCGAACGCGUUUAAUCAGUUCGCGUUUUGACAAAUUGAACGGGGGGGAGAUGAACAAUGGGGGGAGGAACGGGUGGGGCGAGGCGACGUCGAUUAGAAAGUUCCGCGAGGCGAAGAGAUCGAGAAGAAGAGAGAGAGAGAAAAAAAGAAUCGAUGGGUGCAUUACGAAACGAUCCAUGGUUAUAGAGGGGAGGGGAGAGAUUACGAAAUCUCGAAGAUUCGCGAAACGCGUUGGAAUCGUUGGAUACGGGGCAGUAUAAGGAAUAUAUCCUCCUCCUUUCGGCGAGGAGAGAGAGAGAGAGAGAGAGAAAGAGAAUACAAAGGCGAGCGGGUUCGAGUCGUGGUCGAAGUAACUUCGGCGUUAAAGAGGAAAUACGAGCCAUAAACCUUGGAUGCACGCGGCGACGGACACGCGAGGAGAGGGUGGAAUACGAAAUUGCGAAUUGCAAAGAAAUAAGAGAAAUCUUGACCGCCCGUUUAAACUCCGAGACGUAGGAUUUCGGAAAUUUUACUAUUGAAAAUCUUUAUCGCGUGUCUCGGAAAAAAAAAUUAGAUCGUUUGGAUUAUUCCGUUAUUAUCGAACGCGUUUUAUCCUACGAUAAAACAUCCAUUCGAUAAAAAAGAGGAAGAUUAUCGCGAUGGAUCCGAUAGAUAUGAUAUUCCGCACGUGUCGUUUCCACGCGCUUCACGCGUAUCAUUCUUCCCUAUCCAAUCGCGCAUCGAAUUCAAUGGCGAUUAUCCGGCGACAUACAUCGCCGAUAGACCGAAAACUUAUAUUCGUUUCGUUCGAGUCCCUUCCUCGAUUCUCUCGGAAAUUCUCCGCAGAUCGAAUCCAUCCCUUCCUUACCGAGCGAGCCAAUUUUUAACGCAAGACGAAGGAUCGAAGUUGGAGGAGAGAAUUCGAACAUCCUUCCUCCUUCCUUCGUUCUCGCCUCUCUCGUUUUCUCCUUUUCUCUACUUCUUAUAUAACCCCGACGGGUUUAUAGAAAAACCACCGACUUUAUCGGCCGUUCGAGAAACUGGUUACAAAUUGCGCGCGAAAACGCAAUACGGCCGAUCAACGUUCGGCGUAAUUCAUUUCUAGGGACGGAUAAUCGUUGGAGAAACGAGAAAGGGACGGGCUCGUUUGCGGGUUCGCGCUCCUCCUAUUCCCGAUAGGACCGGUCACGUUCCCACAACGGUUGAACGAAAAACCUUUCUUUCUUUCCUUCGAUUCUCUCUAUCUCUUUCUCUCUCUUUCCUCUCGCCCGAUUUCUUCUUCUGCCUCGAUACCUCGAUUGUUAAAUAAACGCGAGGCACCGAAGGGAGUAAAUGGUUGGCGGGUGUUCCGCCUCUCCGUGGCCGGAACGUUUAUUAAAUCACCUUGGUUUACAGCGACAAGGAGGAGGGGGGAGCCCGAUGUUUGUAUAAAUAAUAAAGGGACAAAUGGAGGGGAGGAUGGACGCGUCUCCAUCCUCCCCGUAUCGCCGCGGCUUUAGAAAUGUAAAUUGAACGCUACGAGCUACGAAUCCACGCCGCUCCGUAACCUCGGGGACAGAAUCUGCUUAGGUGGCUAUGGACGGCCGCGAUGGCAUGCCGUGCCCCUCUCCUCCCGGCUCUCGUGCGCAUCUAGACGGUUUAUACACACGAGUCCUGUUCGACUCGCAGUGGCGUAACCACCUCUCUCACUCCCCCGGCUCGAACGAGAAGGGAGAAGGGAGAUCUCCUUCGAGCACCCGAUAUUAACAUACCUCCCUCCGAAUUUUCUUCCUACGUCUCCAUCUUUCCAUCAACUUCGUAAAAGCUUGAAAAUUUCUUCGAUCGUGUAUAUAAAAAGAAGAGCCGGUCUCAACCUCAAAGAAGCGAUUUCAGCCAAAAAUCUGCACACUACUGAAAAUAAUCGUGUGCAAUCCUCGACGGUGUUUAUUAUUGAUAGAAAAAAAAAACGUUUAAUUACACUUUCAGGAAUCAAGUAACAUUAAUAUUAUAAAAUUAAUAUCGCGUGAUGAGAAUAAAAUACCGAGUAAAAUGCCACAUUUCCACAAGAAAGAUACACUCGGUAUCGAUACAACGACUCGAAUCGCCCGCAUACUGUCAAUAAUCGCCCCUAAUAGUGCAUCGAUUGACGCAGAACGAUUUCAACCGCCCGUAAUACCUCCACUAGCGGCAUUUUACGACUACGGUUCAACGAAAGGGUUAAAAAAAAUUGCAAAGAGAAGGAACAGCAAGAAAACACCGGCAACGGAUGGAAUACCCUCCUAAGGGCCGAGUGACCCGGAUUCGAAGUUACGCCACUGUCCAACGCCGCGAGUUCGUACGAUACACACACGGAGCAGGAGGUAUAAAUGGAAAUCUGUAUUUAUACGCUCGCGUGUGUGUAUAUGUGUGUUCGUGCCUCGUGUUCGGUCCCGGGGUCACACGAUAAUGACCUUAUUACAGGAAUUACGGGUUUCCAGGGGUAAUCCGGCCUCGGAGGGCUCUCUUGGUGCACUCUUCGCCGACUUUUCGACUCUCGCGCUCGAGAGCCACGCAUCGUACGCGUUCCGGAAGGAAACGCGCGAGACCGAAAUAAGGGGGAGGAGGGGGGGAUCGAUCUCCUUGGGAUCGAGGAUGGAUCGUUUGGAGCCUGUUAUCUUAUAUUCUUGAGCCGGUCUUUCGUUUUUGUCCGUUUCCAGGGACAGGUUAUUAGAACUGGUUCCGGCUUUGUCAUCCGCUCGACGGGAACGGUGCUCGAUCGAUCCAGCACGAUUAUCGAUCGAUUACCUUCCCCGCCGAAUCUCGAGGAUGAAGAAAAAGAAAAAAGGAGGAGGAUUGAUUUGCUUGGUCAGGGAAAAAGUGGAGGGAGGAAAAGAUUCCCUCUCCUUUCCCUUUCGAUUAAUCGACCGCGUCCUUCUCUCAAUCAUUGAUCUAGUUCCAAACCCGCUUCGAUCCCCGAAUAAUCGAGAAAUAAUCAGAAUCCUUGAACUUUCGGUGAGUCUCAAGUUUGGAUCGGCGACGAUAUUUAUUUAUGUUUGAUUUUUUGAAAUAUUAUUUUCAAUGCUUUUCAGUUUUGUGAGCAUGGGAUACGGUAAUGAAAUUAGAAAUCGAAUUAAUCCUUUGCAUUCGAAUGGAAACUCUUCACGAAGUGUGGAAUAAUAUUAGCUAGAUUUUCUUAUCUCAAAAGAUGGAUCUUCGGCGUUACUUCGAGUUUGAUGCCUGUGAUAAGAAUAUUAUUUUCAAAGUUUCGAGUAAUAGAAUGAUCGAUUCGAAUUGAAGAUGAAGUUAUAUAUAAAAAGGAUAAUAGACAGAGAGGAUAACGGAAGAAUACAAUUUACUAAAUACAACUUACUAAUAAAAUAGCGCGCGAAAUAAGUAUGCGAUAAAAAAGUUAAAAGUACUGUUGCCCUACUUGCCCUACUUGACAAAAGCGAGGAUGCAUCUUGCAAAUUGCUUCAUAAAAUAUCACGCAAAACGACGAUAUAGACUUUAGAAUAUUCGAUAAAUUUUCUUUCUUUAUACGCAAAGAUACGUAACGCAAAACAAAUUCCUCUCACAUGUACAUUUCGUUCAUCAAAAAUUACAAAUACAAAUAUACAUAUAUAUAUAUACACACACAAUAUUUCGACACUGAGAAACCGUUCCACACAAGAGCAGAAACACAAGAGUGAAAUCAUUUUAGGUUAGCCGCAAGACAACACCGAAUUGCUCGACCGAGCGAAAGAGGCGCAAAGCAUUAACGGCACGUUUUCAUUCGCCUGCUUUCGUUCAUUCGUUGCCAUCAAGCGGCGGAGAGAUCAUCGUUCGAUCUUCCAUCCCGUCCAACCGUGAAACGUCGACGUCGUUUCCGACUCCUCGAUACCCCCUCCCCUCCCCGCCCAAUUUAAAGCCCGAUUAAGGGCCGAUAUCGAAUUUUCGGAUUCCUCCUCCUCGAAUCGAGUUUCGUUCCGAGUAACUCGAUUUUCCGGAUCGAAGAAUCGGGCGCGACGACGUCACGCUCGAUAAUUGCCAAUCAAUUCCGCACGGAAGUCACUCGCUCCUCCUGCUCGUUUCGCGAGUCGAGGAUCCCGUUUCCUUCGAUGACCUUCUUCGUUUCUUUUCGACACCAAGCGGACGGAAAGGGAACUCGAGCGAAAGGGAAACGGGAGGAGGUCUUGGAACGUUGGGGGGAGGCACGUUUAAAACGGCGAGCCGCUUCUAAACUGAUCGAAGCUAAGUCGGUGAAAAAUACGGGUGGAAGUACGGCGGCGUCCAGCAGCGACGGCCGGCAGGAAAUUUCGGAAGCGCGGAGGAAAUGGAGGGGGCGGCCCCGCCUCGCCGAUUUUAAUCAAGCCGGAUUAAGCCGGUCGGUGGCGUGGCUCUCGUUUUCGAUUCUGGCCGAAUCGUCGCCCGAAUCGCGGCCCCCCUGGAAAUUACACCGAUCAGACGCGUAAAUUGCCGGAUAUUGCGAGUCGAUUCGAUAACCUUUUUCUCCGCCGAAUUUUCCGCGAGGCCUGAUGAUUUAUCAAACCUCCAACGUCGACAUCCACUCGCCUCCCCGGUUUACCCUUUCGAUUUCCCGAUUUUCGGUAGAGGAGGGGGGGAGACGAGGACGAAAAAUGGCACCGGCACGUGUCACCAAAGGGAAAAGAAAAAAGAAUAAUUUUUUUCGCGUCGAAUCUCAUUUCCAUCCAACCCGUUCGGUGUUAACGAACCGGCAUCGAGAGACCCGUGACCCCGAUGCACGAGUCCGCUCUUCGCUUUCAUACACUUUCUAAUUAACGUUAUCGAUUAUGCGUCGCGCGGGCCGCCCACGCUCAACUCCACGCGGAAAAAUAUUAGAGACGUUCGCGACUCGGGGAGGUGAAAAACCGGACGAGUGGAUUCUCGCUGGAUUCUCCAAACCUCUCUCUCUCUCUAUCCCUCUCUCUGCGCUCGUUCGAUGGUUAAAAAACCGUGGAUGGAAGAUCAAAGAGCGGAGGGGAAGGGGGAGUAAUUAAUUUUAUUUCACCCGAGUCGAGCUGGAAUAUAUUCGCGCGGAAAAAGCGAAUUCCUCCGAUGAAGGGAAGAAGAGGUAAAUCUAAAUUUUGCCAACAACUGGCUAUUCUCGAUUUCCUCUGUUCUGGAAAAUAAACUACAGCAAAAUGGAACUAUUAACACGUUGACUGCCGCGUCACUCAUAUUCGGGUAUUUUUUGUUUCGCGGGGAAGAUAUUCCACAGGAUGUAACAAAACUAUUAAAUUUUGAACGUAAAAUUUUAAAACGUUCUAUACAAUGCUGAAGUUGAUCCGGACAAUUUGAACAAAAACUUUUUGUCUUUUUUAAAUUCCUUUCUGCGUUUGACCCGGUUGUAAUCUCUUAUCUGAAUAAUACAAUUCGCAUAAUAAUUUUGCAGCUACUAAAUCUUCUAAUUUCUACAUUUUUUUGUUCCAAUUUUCUAAACUAUUAAAACAUUUAUAACUGAAAUCCCUAGAAGAAGUUGAAUCCCAACUUUUCGAUCCGUUGAACACCAUUUGAUCCCUUUUCUAAUUGUACUAGCAUAAGAAACUGUUACCAUUACAAUUAUCGUUAUUGCAAACAGUAACGAUGAAAACAAACGACGCGAGGUAUCGUUCCUGCGACCAUUAGCACGAUUCGCGACUUACUAAAAUAUCGGUAGAACUACACUUGAUAUACAGCGCCGCGCGUGGCCAGAACGAAAUUUAAUUAGAAAUACGCGCUAGUGUCAAACUGUGAGCAGUUUUAAAACUAACGAUAGAGAGAGAGGGAGAGAGAGAUUCUCGUUUCUUCUUUCACAGUCGCGGCUGGGAAGAAGGCUCGGGAAGGCGAGGCAACGAAGAAGCCGUGCAACGAUUUUCUUAGUCCCCCUCUCCUGGCCGUCCUGACGGAGAGCGACGCGGGAUAGGAUUGUCAGGGUGGCGGAAGGAAGGGCAAGGAGAGAGAGGGAGGGAAGGAGCGCGGGCGGAGAAAGAAGGCAGAGGGGCUACGUACAAGGAAUUCAUGAAUACGAGAUUGCAGUUGGAGAGUGCCCCGGGUAAAAGGCUACUCGCGCGUCCCAACCGGUAAAGUGGACGAACGAUACCGUAUCCGUCUCUCCUUCCAACGGAGAAGGAAAAGAAAUCUCUCCCCCUCCCCUCCGCUACUCGAAAUAUCUCUCGAACCAAGUUCAGAGUUCGACCAACUUUCUUGCGUUGUCUUCGCGUUUCUUUCAAAGUUUCUACCCUGAUCUCUUUGAGAGAAAGAUAGAAGAACGGCGACACGAUUGUUAAUCUUCUAUAUAUAUAGGAAAAUUAUAAAUUAUAUUUUUAAAAUAGAUUUCAUUUAUUGGGAGAAAAUUAUAAAAGGAUUUUCCUGAGGUUUGGCUUCUCAAGGGCAGCGCGCGUGGUGGAAAGCAUGGAAGAACGGUCGAUAUUCGUUCGAUCUCUCGAACGUAUAAAUAGGCUCGGAGUGCAUUUGUUCCGCGGGAGGAUUUGUUGAUUCUGAUCGAGGCGAAAAAAGCAAGCUUAUAUAUAUAUAUAUAUAUAUAUAUAUAUAUAUAUAUAUAUAUAUAUAUAUCUUUUCCUCUCUGCGUGAUGCGUUCGAUCAGAGCACUCCUUGGCUCUGUCCGUACACGCACGUGCGCGUAUCACGCCUCGAACUCGUUGGGAUCGUUCGAUAAACCGCUCCAUCGACCGGAUGGGCGCAUAUUCAUUGGCGCGAAUCCGAUCGAGAAACGUUCGAGGAACGCAUUCUCCUCGUUUCCACUCCUAUGUGAACGGUUUCUCCGAUAUCGAAAUAGUGUAUACAUAUAUAAAAAGAACGCUUGUUUUUGAUGAACGAAAUACACGCGUGAAAGGAAUUUGUUUAACCCUUUGCAUUUCGGAUGAUUUCCCAUUCCGUGAAUUUCUUAGCUAGCUUGAAACGAUUUCACGUAUGAAACUUUUUCUUAUUCCAAUGUUUUACAUAUAUCUUUACAUGUAUCUGUGUAAAUGAAGAAAAUUUGUCGAAUGUUAAAGUCUAUAUAAUCGUUGUUUUCUACUUUUAAUAAUAAAGUAAUUAUCGAGUAAUAAAAUAAU